GCUCCUUAUCCUCUUAGGCACCCACACUCCCUCUGCUUUCUGUAUGGUUCUCUGAGCUCAGUGGGAAGAGAUUUGAUGGAGACGUCUCAUUUAGUACUGCAUGUUCCAAGAAUUCAGAACAAUAGUUGCCUGUGAUAGAGGAGGAAGUGGAUGGCAUCUCUUGAUUGAGAUGAAACUCGUAGAAUAAUGCCUUUCCCAUGACAUCUGAGGAAACAGUAAACUAUGAUCAAAUUCUUUGGAGAAUUCAAUUGCCGUGAACAAUGACAGCUACGAGUAUCAUCAUUCCAGCUAUCUCAUAAUCCAGAACAAGAAAGAAGCAUUUUAUCCUCCUCUUAAAAUCCUGUUGCUGG